UACAACAUUAAUGAAGAGGAGGAGGAGGGGGAACAAUCAUAUGCAUUUCAUAGCUAGAACCUUAACUUUCCUUCCUCCUCUCUUUUCUUAUUUAAUAAUUCUUUUCACUAAUAAGGAGAAGGAGCAGAUAAACAUGAAAGUAGGAAGAAUAAUGGCGUUCGGUAAUAAGGAGAGUCUGCUUCCUCCCCUCUUUCUUCACAUUUCAUUCCUCCUUUCCUUAUUUGAUAAUUUCCUUUGCUAACGCAGAAGGAAAAGGAGGAGAAGGAGUUAAACAUGAAAAAAGAAGAAAAAAGAGGCGUGUGUUUUGUCCUUUCUUUCUUUACUUCAUUCUUUCCUCCCCUGCCUGGCGCCUCUCUCUCUCUCUUAUAGGUGCGGGCGGUGCUGCCUGUGGAGGAGGGCGCAGCUGUGUACCACUGUGAGGCGCAGCUGGACGGCAGAACCAUUGUGACUCACUGCUUGGAGAAGAACAAGGCAGAGAAGGUGUACAAGGAGGCUUUGAAAGAGGGGAAGACUGCCCUCAUGACACGAGAAGACCCUGACUCAAGCGACAUUCUCACGCUUAACCUCGGCAACUUUCCUGCGGGAACGAGGGCCAAGGUCACCCUUCGUCUGGUGAUGGAGUUGAGGGUUGAGACAGACGGCAUCAUCAGCUUUGUUUUGCCCACAGUACUCAACCCGCGCUACACCCCUGCUGACCACCCUCGCAGGCAAGGAAUCAAAGUAAAAAUGGAUUAAUCCGUUCCCGCACACCGUCGCAGCAGCUCAGGACAAGGCCUG